GGUGGCCGCCCUCUUAGACAUGCAAGUCGAGCGGUAACAGGGGGUGCUUGCACCCCGCUGACGAGCGGCGGACGGGUGAGUAAUGCUUAGGAAUCUGCCCAGUAGUGGGGGAUAGCCCGGGGAAACCCGGAUUAAUACCGCAUACGUCCUACGGGAGAAAGCAGGGGAUCUUCGGACCUUGCGCUACUGGAUGAGCCUAAGUCGGAUUAGCUAGUUGGUGGGGUAAAGGCCUACCAAGGCGACGAUCCGUAGCUGGUCUGAGAGGAUGAUCAGCCACAUCGGGACUGAGACACGGCCCGAACUCCUACGGGAGGCAGCAGUGGGGAAUAUUGGACAAUGGGGGCAACCCUGAUCCAGCCAUGCCGCGUGUGUGAAGAAGGCUUUCGGGUUGUAAAGCACUUUCAGCGAGGAGGAAGGCUCUGAAGUUAAUACCUUCAGGGAUUGACGUUACUCGCAGAAGAAGCACCGGCUAACUCCGUGCCAGCAGCCGCGGUAAUACGGAGGGUGCAAGCGUUAAUCGGAAUUACUGGGCGUAAAGCGCGCGUAGGUGGUUAGGUAAGCGAGAUGUGAAAGCCCCGGGCUUAACCUGGGAACGGCAUUUCGAACUGUCUGACUAGAGUGUGGUAGAGGGUAGUGGAAUUUCCUGUGUAGCGGUGAAAUGCGUAGAUAUAGGAAGGAACACCAGUGGCGAAGGCGGCUACCUGGACCAACACUGACACUGAGGUGCGAAAAGCGUGGGGAGCAAACAGGAUUAGAUACCCUGGUAGUCCACGCCGUAAACGAUGUCAACUAGCCGUUGGGACUCUUGAAGUCUUAGUGGCGCAGCUAACGCACUAAGUUGACCGCCUGGGGAGUACGGCCGCAAGGUUAAAACUCAAAUGAAUUGACGGGGCCCCGCACAAGCGGUGGAGCAUGUGGUUUAAUUCGACGCAACGCGAAGAACCUUACCUGGCCUUGACAUCCAGAGAACUUUCCAGAGAUGGAUUGGUGCCUUCGGGAACUCUGAGACAGGUGCUGCAUGGCCGUCGUCAGCUCGUGUCGUGAGAUGUUGGGUUAAGUCCCGUAACGAGCGCAACCCCUAUCCCUGGUUGCUAGCAGGUAAUGCUGAGAACUCCAGGGAGACUGCCGGUGACAAACCGGAGGAAGGUGGGGAUGACGUCAGGUCAUCAUGGCCCUUACGGCCAGGGCUACACACGUGCUACAAUGGCGCGUACAGAGGGCUGCCAACUCGCGAGAGUGCGCCAAUCCCUUAAAACGCGUCGUAGUCCGGAUCGGAGUCUGCAACUCGACUCCGUGAAGUCGGAAUCGCUAGUAAUCGCGAAUCAGAAUGUCGCGGUGAAUACGUUCCCGGGCCUUGUACACACCGCCCGUCACACCAUGGGAGUGGAUUGCACCAGAAGUAGUUAGUCUAACCUUCGGGAGGACGAUUACCACGGUGUGGUUCAUGACUGGGGGAAGUCGAACAAGGAAACCAGGA
rnacentral:rRNA from 1 species